rnacentral:rRNA from 1 species
GAUGAACGCUGGCGGCGUGCCUAAUACAUGCAAGUCGAGCGAAUGGAUUGAGAGCUUGCUCUUAUGAAGUUAGCGGCGGACGGGUGAGUAACACGUGGUAACCUGCCCAUAAGACUGGGAUAACUCCGGGAAACCGGGGCUAAUACCGGAUAACAUUUUGAACCGCAUGGUUCGAAAUUGAAAGGCGGCUUCGGCUGUCACUUAUGGAUGGACCCGCGUCGCAUUAGCUAGUUGGUGAGGUAACGGCUCACCAAGGCAACGAUGCGUAGCCGACCUGAGAGGGUGAUCGGCCACACUGGGACUGGAACACGGCCCAGACUCCUACGGGAGGCAGCAGUAGGGAAUCUUCCGCAAUGGACGAAAGUCUGACGGAGCAACGCCGCGUGAGUGAUGAAGGCUUUCGGGUCGUAAAACUCUGUUGUUAGGGAAGAACAAGUGCUAGUUGAAUAAGCUGGCACCUUGACGGUACCUAACCAGAAAGCCACGGCUAACUACGUGCCAGCAGCCGCAGUAA